UCUGCACAUUAUUAAAGCUCAGGGUGGAGGCCAGUCUUGGCCAGUGAACUUCUGAGUGUCGGAAGUGUGCCACAUUGAACUUAUGGCAGGAUUUUCGCUAACACCAGUACAGCUUGCCUAUGAU